rnacentral:rRNA from 1 species
AGUGAACGCUGGCGGUAGGCCUAACACAUGCAAGUCGAACGGCAGCACAGUAAGAGCUUGCUCUUACGGGUGGCGAGUGGCGGACGGGUGAGGAAUACAUCGGAAUCUACUUUUUCGUGGGGGAUAACGUAGGGAAACUUACGCUAAUACCGCAUACGACCUACGGGUGAAAGCAGGGGAUCUUCGGACCUUGCGCGAUUGAAUGAGCCGAUGUCGGAUUAGCUAGUUGGCGGGGUAAAGGCCCACCAAGGCGACGAUCCGUAGCUGGUCUGAGAGGAUGAUAAGCCACACUGGAACUGAGACACGGUCAAGACGCCUACGGGAGGCAGCAGUGGGGAAUAUUGGACAAUGGGCGCAAGCCUGAUCCAGCCAUACCGCGUGGGUGAAGAAGGCCUUCGGGUUGUAAAGCCCUUUUGUUGGGAAAGAAAAGCAGCAGGUUAAGACCCCGCUGUUCUGACGGUACCCAAAGAAUAAGCACCGGCUAACUUCGUG